rnacentral:rRNA from 1 species
CCUACGGGAGGCAGCAGUCGGGAAUUUUGCGCAAUGGGGGAAACCCUGACGCAGCAACGCCGCGUGAGUGACGAAGGCCUUCGGGUUGUAAAGCUCUGUCUUCCGGGACGAAUGCUAUUCGGUUAACUGCCGGAUAGGUGACGGUACCGGAGGAGGAAGCCACGGCUAACUACGUGCCAGCAGCCGCGGUAAUACGUAGGUGGCGAGCGUUGUCCGGAGUUAUUGGGCGUAAAGGGCGUGUAGGCGGCCAGAUAAGACAGUAGUAAAAAACCGCAGCUAAACUGGGGGACUGCUAUUGAAACGGACGGGCUUGAGGGCACCAGAGGAGAGCGAAAUCCCCGGUGUAGCGGUAAAAUGCGUAGAUAUCGGGAGGAACACCAGGGGCGAAGGCGGCUCUCGGGGGUGAAACUGACGCUGAGGCGCGAAAGCUGGGGGAGCGAACGGGAUUAGAUCCCCGAGUAGU